rnacentral:rRNA from 1 species
GAANCUCUNAGACCCGCGNUAGCUAUCUAACAUGGUUGUUGNUNUAUAGGACUCACACUUGGCCGCUCGUUUUACAGCCUAACACAUGCAAGUCGAGCGGCAGCACAAGUGAGUUUACUCAUGAGGUGGCGAGCGGCGGACGGGUGAGUAAUGCCUAGGGAUCUGCCCAGUCGAGGGGGAUAACAGUUGGAAACGACUGCUAAUACCGCAUACGCCCUACGGGGGAAAGAGGGGGACCUUCGGGCCUCUCGCGAUUGGAUGAACCUAGGUGGGAUUAGCUAGUUGGUGAGGUAAUGGCUCACCAAGGCGACGAUCCUUAGCUGUUCUGAGAGGAUGAUCAGCCACACUGGGACUGAGACACGGCCCAGACUCCUACGGGAGGCAGCAGUGGGGAAUAUUGCACAAUGGGGGAAACCCUGAUGCAGCCAUGCCGCGUGUAGUGAAGAAGGCCUUCGGGUUGUAAAGCACUUUCAGGUANGGAGGAAAGGUUGUAAGUUAAUACCUUGCA